UGGGGAAUUUUGGACAAUGGGGGAAACCCUGAUCCAGCCAUCCCGCGUGUGCGAUGAAGGCCUUCGGGUUGUAAAGCACUUUUGGCAGGAAAGAAACGUCAUGGGUUAAUACCCCGUGAAACUGACGGUACCUGCAGAAUAAGCACCGGCUAACUACGUUCCAGCAGCCGCGGUAAUACGUAGGGUGCAAGCGUUAAUCGGAAUUACUGGGCGUAAAGCGGGCGCAGGCGGUUCGGAAAGAAAGAUGUGAAAUCCCAGAGCUCAACUUUGGAACUGCAUUUUUAACUACCGGGCUAGAGUGUGUCAGAGGGAGGAGGAAUUCCGCGUGUAGCAGUGAAAUGCGUAGAUAUGCGGAGGAACACCGAUGGCGAAGGCAGCCUCCUGGGAUAACACUGACGCUCAUGCACGAAAGCGUGGGGAGCAAACAGG
rnacentral:rRNA from 1 species